rnacentral:rRNA from 1 species
UACAAUGGAGAGUUUGAUCCUGGCUCAGGAUGAACGCUAGCGAUAGGCUUAACACAUGCAAGUCGAGGGGCAGCAUGGUCUUAGCUUGCUAAGACUGAUGGCGACCGGCGCACGGGUGCGUAACGCGUAUGCAACUUGCCUCACAGAGGGGGAUAACCCGUCGAAAGACGGACUAAUACCGCGUACACUUGGGAUAGGGCAUCCUAUCCCAAGGAAAUGAAAUUCGCUGUGAGAUAGGCAUGCGUCCCAUUAGCUAGUUGGUGAGGUAACGGCUCACCAAGGCGACGAUGGGUAGGGGAACUGAGAGGUUGAACCCCCACACUGGUACUGAGACACGGACGGGAGGCAGCAGUGAGGAAUAUUGGUCAAUGGGCGAGAGCCUGAACCAGCCAAGUCGCGUGAAGGAUGACUGUCUUAUGGAUUGUAAACUUCUUUUAUACGGGAAUAACAAGAGUCACGUGUGGCUCCCUGCAUGUACCGUAUGAAUAAGCACCGGCUAACUCCGUGCCAGCAGCCGCGGUAAUACGGAGGGUGCGAGCGUUAAUCGGAAUAACUGGGCGUAAAGGGCACGCAGGCGGUGACUUAAGUGAGGUGUGAAAGCCCCGGGCUUAACCUGGGAAUUGCAUUUCAUACUGGGUCGCUAGAGUACUUUAGGGAGGGGUAGAAUUCCACGUGUAGCGGUGAAAUGCGUAGAGAUGUGGAGGAAUACCGAAGGCGAAGGCAGCCCCUUGGGAAUGUACUGACGCUCAUGUGCGAAAGCGUGGGGAGCAAACAGGAUUAGAUACCCUGGUAGUCCACGCCCUAAACGAUGUCGAUUUGGGGGUUGAACUUUAAGUUUGGCGCCCGUAGCUAACGUGAUAAAUCGACCGCCUGGGGAGUACGGCCGCAAGGUUAAAACUCAAAUGAAU